GCGCAAGCGUUGUCCGGAAUUAUUGGGCGUAAAGAGCUCGUAGGCGGUCUGUCGCGUCCGUUGUGAAAACUCGAGGCUCAACCUCGGGCUUGCAGUGGAUACGGGCAGACUAGAGUGCGGUAGGGGAGACUGGAAUUCCUGGUGUAGCGGUGGAAUGCGCAGAUAUCAGGAGGAACACCGAUGGCGAAGGCAGGUCUCUGGGCCACUACUGACGCUGAGAAGCGAAAGCGUGGGGAGCGAACAGG
rnacentral:rRNA from 1 species